UUAGAUGCAACUUUUGUUAAUGCAAGAAACAAGAACUUGAUAUGUAUUUUAAGUGAGUAGCAAAUGAUUUUGUUCAUAAUUAUAUGUAUAUUAUCUAAUUUUGAGCAAUAAUCAUUAAUAUAAAUAUUUUGAAUAAAAUGAGAAAAAAAUAGAAAUAUAGAGUUAAAUAUACUUGUGUUUGGUUAUCUUCGGAUAUCCAUUCGGGUUCGGAUAUUACCCAUUCGGAUUCAGAUAUUACCUUAACUGGUGAAAUAAAUAAUUUGUUUUAUUGUUCUAAUUAGAUAAUUUUUAGACCGAGCUAUGUGAAUAUAUACUAGACAAACAUUUAUAUUUUGAGUAUACACUUAUAUUCUAUAAGUACUUGAUAUAUUAGAUUUAAACACUAACCUGUUAAUAUAGUUUACCGGUAAUUUUUUUUAAAUUUUGAUUCUUAGAUAUGUAUAUGGAGUGAAACUAAUUUUUACAAUGUCUAGUCUAUUUUUUUAAUCGACACCUAUGUAAUUCACUAAAUUCAUAAAAGAAGUUAAAAAAAAAAAACUUAACUCAUAUCAAUGAAACAAAGACGAGUACAAAGCACAAUUCUAUAGGUGUAGAAAAUAAAAUCACUUAAGGAGAGUCCAUAAUAAACAAAUCGAGAGCAGAAAACCUAAUCCCCUUUCGUCUUUAUACAAUCGAUGUUGCCUAUUUGGUUUUGGUGAUUUAUGUCAGCCGUAAAAAAUAAUUUCCUUUUGUGCAUAUGAAGUCUUAAAAAUAAUUAAAAUGUGAUGUACUAUGUUAACUUUUCAACAACGAUGAUAUAUUUAAGAGACCAACAUUUGUAUUCAUCAUUUUAUAAUCGAUAAAGAUUGUAGAAUUGCAAAAUAUUUAAAUUAUUAAUAAACAAACAUUAUUAUAAGAAUUCACUACGCAGAUGCGUACUGAUUAUCAUCUAGUGUAUAUAUAUAGUAGGUGAGAAAACGACAACAAAAGCUAUGAUAGUAUUGUACUAUAUUUAGUUAAAUAAUUCGUUUCUCAUUAUGGCAUUAUGUAUUUCUUUUCGAUUUAUUGCAUAUCAGACUUCAAUAAUCAACAUUAUCAUGAGGCAGUUUCAAGACUCCUAAGAGUGUCCAUCUAAGCACUUUGUGGGUCCCACCCAAAUAUUGGUUUGGUUUGGUCUUUUAAUUCAUGUCGUUUGGCUUGAUAAUUAAUUUUGUAUCGUAUAAGUUUGGUUCUCUGCGUUUGGUUUUAUGUUUAGGCCCUUGGGUUUAUGAAUUUGGUAUCAGCCCCAAAAAGGAAUGUAAUGUUAUGUAACCAAAUUCUGCGUUUUAUCUUUGAGUAGGUUAGGGUUUCUUUGUGAUCGUUCUUUCUACACUUCAACCUAGCCAUCUCCACUUACAUCAGUCUGCAAACACAAAGAUUUCUUACUCAACUCUUCACCUCUCCUAACGUUCAAUGUAUUCCUCUUAAUUUCUCACCAAUAAAUGUCCCAAUAACAAUGUGACCUCUCCGUUUCCUUCCUUAAGACCUAUAAAUUGGAGAAGAUUGAGAAUGUGAUGAAUCUUGUCAAUCAAUCACUUUCAGUUAAUCUUCUAUAUCAAGCAUACAAAGAUCCUCUGCUAACGCCUUCCUCCAAUGCUGUGAAGAGGCAGAUGAUUAACUAUAUGCUUCAGGACGAUGAAAAGCAUCAGAAGGCACAAACUUUUUAAAAACCCAACAAGAUUCUAUUAUUUACUCUUUAAUAUGUCUUAUUUUUUCUUUAUUUCUGAUUAUAUUUUGCGGUGGUGGCUCUGACUUGCCGCAAUUGACUCUUUGGUCACCAUUCACCUCCGGUUACAGCCCUCCUAUCGGCCCUUCCCGAGAACCAUCACCGCGGUGGAGACAAAACCUGUUAUGAUUCCUUUUCAAUAAAAAAAAGCUUUAGUCGAUGAGCAGAUCUGAUCUGUUCAAGCUAAUUUCCAGAAGAUCAAAAGGAGAAAGACAAGCAACGAAAUGAUGAUGGAUGGAUUACAAAGGAAUAAGCUACUGUUGGGGCUGGAUUUACAUUUUCUCUCAAAGUUCAUUAAGACAAUAAAUUAUACUCAUUUUGUUAGGAAACCCUAGACAUUUUUCUUCUAUAAAUAAAGAGCUACCUCCUUAUUAGAAAUGAUCUUCUCUUCUCCAUUUUGGACUUAGAACACUUCUUACAAAUGGUUUAUGGAUUCAUAGAUUUAACUUACACUAGAAACCAUUCUUGUAAUACAAUCUUUGAUCAAUAAACUCUUUUUGAUGUUCAUUCUCAUUUGAUUCUUUCAAAAUUUCUCCUAAACCUCAAGAAUCUAAUCAUUAUCUUUAGAUUUUUUAUUGUAUGAUUACAACAAACAUCAUCAGCACAAACACCAUUUUUGGAUCAAACAGUUGGCCCUAGAAGAAGGGGGACAAGGAGAACUAUCUUCAAAGCAUAUCGAACUUGGGAGAAUCCAGAUCU